GACGAACGCUGGCGGCGUGCUUAACACAUGCAAGUCGAACGGAAAGGCCCUGCUUUUGUGGGGUGCUCGAGUGGCGAACGGGUGAGUAACACGUGAGUAACCUGCCCUUGACUUUGGGAUAACUUCAGGAAACUGGGGCUAAUACCGGAUAGGAGCUCCUGCUGCAUGGUGGGGGUUGGAAAGUUUCGGCGGUUGGGGAUGGACUCGCGGCUUAUCAGCUUGUUGGUGGGGUAGUGGCUUACCAAGGCUUUGACGGGUAGCCGGCCUGAGAGGGUGACCGGCCCAAUGGGGCUGGGGAUACGGCCCAGACUCCUACGGGGGGAAGGGGGGGGGAAAAUUGCACAAGGGGCGGAAGCCUGAUGCAGAAACGCCGGGUGCGGGAGGACGGCCUUCGGGUUGUAAACCGCUUUCGCCUGGGACGAAGGGUGAGGGACGGUAAUGGGUAAAGAAGCACCGGCUAACUACGU
rnacentral:rRNA from 1 species